CUGGGGUCCGGCUGUUCUUCUUCUUAGGAGCAGCAUCAGAAGGUGAUCUUUGCGAGGAUUCAAGAAAUCUUAUGGUUUGCUUCCAACCGAGAGGGACUUGUUUCACGGUGAUCACUUCAAGGAGGAAUGACUUUAUUUCGGCGAAGAAGGAUAAUUCUACUCUCUAUAUAUAGUGGAAACUUAUUUGUGAUGGGAGUUCUCAUGUGUUAUUUUGUGUGUGUAAUAUAUGGUGAAAUGUGGAGUAUUAUGGGUUUUAUAUAGAGUACUUAUGUGAGGAGGUUCAUAACUAGGUUAAUAUGUAUUUAUAGUUAAGUUUGAUGUGUUGUAUGUUGUGAAAUUUCAUAUGUUGUAAUAUGGAGAUAAAUACCUAUAUGGAGUUGUUGGUUGUUUGUUUGU